GGGACACGUGGUAUCCUGUCUGAAUAUGGGGGGACCAUCCUCCAAGGCUAAAUACUCCUGACUGACCGAUAGUGAACCAGUACCGUGAGGGAAAGGCGAAAAGAACCCCGGCGAGGGGAGUGAAAAAGAACCUGAAACCGUGUACGUACAAGCAGUGGGAGCACGCUUAGGCGUGUGACUGCGUACCUUUUGUAUAAUGGGUCAGCGACUUAUAUUCUGUAGCAAGGUUAACCGAAUAGGGGAGCCGAAGGGAAACCGAGUCUUAACUGGGCGUUAAGUUGCAGGGUAUAGACCCGAAACCCGGUGAUCUAGCCAUGGGCAGGUUGAAGGUUGGGUAACACUAACUGGAGGACCGAACCGACUAAUGUUGAAAAAUUAGCGGAUGACUUGUGGCUGGGGGUGAAAGGCCAAUCAAACCGGGAGAUAGCUGGUUCUCCCCGAAAGCUAUUUAGGUAGCGCCUCGUGAAUUCAUCUCCGGGGGUAGAGCACUGUUUCGGCAAGGGGGUCAUCCCGACUUACCAACCCGAUGCAAACUGCGAAUACCGGAGAAUGUUAUCACGGGAGACACACGGCGGGUGCUAACGUCCGUCGUGAAGAGGGAAACAACCCAGACCGCCAGCUAAGGUCCCAAAGUCAUGGUUAAGUGGGAAACGAUGUGGGAAGGCCCAGACAGCCAGGAUGUUGGCUUAGAAGCAGCCAUCAUUUAAAGAAAGCGUAAUAGCUCACUGGUCGAGUCGGCCUGCGCGGAAGAUGUAACGGGGCUAAACCAUGCACCGAAGCUGCGGCAGCGACGCUGAUGCGUUGUUGGGUAGGGGAGCGUUCUGUAAGCCUGCGAAGGUGUGCUGUGAGGCAUGCUGGAGGUAUCAGAAGUGCGAAUGCUGACAUAAGUAACGAUAAAGCGGGUGAAAAGCCCGCUCGCCGGAAGACCAAGGGUUCCUGUCCAACGUUAAUCGGGGCAGGGUGAGUCGACCCCUAAGGCGAGGCCGAAAGGCGUAGUCGAUGGGAAACAGGUUAAUAUUCCUGUACUUGGUGUUACUGCGAAGGGGGGACGGAGAAGGCUAUGUUGGCCGGGCGACGGUUGUCCCGGUUUAAGCGUGUAGGCUGGUUUUCCAGGCAAAUCCGGAAAAUCAAGGCUGAGGCGUGAUGACGAGGCACUACGGUGCUGAAGCAACAAAUGCCCUGCUUCCAGGAAAAGCCUCUAAGCAUCAGGUAACAUCAAAUCGUACCCCAAACCGACACAGGUGGUCAGGUAGAGAAUACCAAGGCGCUUGAGAGAACUCGGGUGAAGGAACUAGGCAAAAUGGUGCCGUAACUUCGGGAGAAGGCACGCUGAUAUGUAGGUGAAGUCCCUCGCGGAUGGAGCUGAAAUCAGUCGAAGAUACCAGCUGGCUGCAACUGUUUAUUAAAAACACAGCACUGUGCAAACACGAAAGUGGACGUAUACGGUGUGACGCCUGCCCGGUGCCGGAAGGUUAAUUGAUGGGGUUAGCCGCAAGGCGAAGCUCUUGAUCGAAGCCCCGGUAAACGGCGGCCGUAACUAUAACGGUCCUAAGGUAGCGAAAUUCCUUGUCGGGUAAGUUCCGACCUGCACGAAUGGCGUAAUGAUGGCCAGGCUGUCUCCACCCGAGACUCAGUGAAAUUGAACUCGCUGUGAAGAUGCAGUGUACCCGCGGCAAGACGGAAAGACCCCGUGAACCUUUACUAUAGCUUGACACUGAACAUUGAGCCUUGAUGUGUAGGAUAGGUGGGAGGCUUAGAAGUGUGGACGCCAGUCUGCAUGGAGCCGACCUUGAAAUACCACCCUUUAAUGUUUGAUGUUCUAACGUUGACCCGUAAUCCGGGUUGCGGACAGUGUCUGGUGGGUAGUUUGACUGGGGCGGUCUCCUCCUAAAGAGUAACGGAGGAGCACGAAGGUUGGCUAAUCCUGGUCGGACAUCAGGAGGUUAGUGCAAUGGCAUAAGCCAGCUUGACUGCGAGCGUGACGGCGCGAGCAGGUGCGAAAGCAGGUCAUAGUGAUCCGGUGGUUCUGAAUGGAAGGGCCAUCGCUCAACGGAUAAAAGGUACUCCGGGGAUAACAGGCUGAUACCGCCCAAGAGUUCAUAUCGACGGCGGUGUUUGGCACCUCGAUGUCGGCUCAUCACAUCCUGGGGCUGAAGUAGGUCCCAAGGGUAUGGCUGUUCGCCAUUUAAAGUGGUACGCGAGCUGGGUUUAGAACGUCGUGAGACAGUUCGGUCCCUAUCUGCCGUGGGCGCUGGAGAACUGAGGGGGGCUGCUCCUAGUACGAGAGGACCGGAGUGGACGCAUCACUGGUGUUCGGGUUGUCAUGCCAAUGGCACUGCCCGGUAGCUAAAUGCGGAAGAGAUAAGUGCUGAAAGCAUCUAAGCACGAAACUUGCCCCGAGAUGAGUUCUCCCUGACUCCUUGAGAGUCCUGAAGGAACGUUGAAGACGACGACGUUGAUAGGCCGGGUGUGUAAGCGCAGCGAUGCGUUGAGCUAACCGGUACUAAUGAACCGUGAGGCUUAACCUUACAACGCCGAAGCUGUU
rnacentral:rRNA from 1 species